AUUAGUUAGUUUAUCCACAGAAAUAUAAAAUAUAAUGAGUAAACGUAAUUCAAGAUAUUUUCGUAGAUAAUAUUUUACCUACAAACCAAUUAUCUACCAACCUCUGUUUGUGGUGGAGAGAACGGCGAGAGUCGUGUGAAUGGAUUGUGUAUGCGCUAUUGGCUGUCGAGCGCGAUUCAACGGCGAAAGGAAAAUGAAAACGGCAGUGUCACACGAACAAGAGAUUGGACUACGAAAUAAAUUGAUAGCAGCGUGGUUGUCGAUGGCAGAGUGCGGCAGCGAUUCUGGAAAGGGAGAAAGAGGGAAGAGAUGAUGAGUUGCAAGAGAGUGUGAGAGAUUUGAAAAGAUGCAAAUUUAGAUUUUAGAUAUUUUAUUUUUCAAUUUCAAUAAAAAUAUUUUGAUCUUUUUACCUAUAAAUUUUUCUUUUUUAAUUUCUUUGGGGCGGUCAUGGCCUCUGCGAAAGCACUGUCCCUCAUAGUAAAAGAGAUUUACUAAUAAGAAGAUUUAUUAAAGAGAUUGUAAGGU